AUUGAACGCUGGCGGAAUGCUUUACACAUGCAAGUCGAACGGCAGCACGGGGCAACCUGGUGGCGAGUGGCGAACGGGUGAGUAAUACAUCGGAACGUGCCCAGUCGUGGGGGAUAACGUAGCGAAAGCUACGCUAAUACCGCAUACGAUCUACGGAUGAAAGCGGGGGACUCGCAAGAGCCUCGCGCGAUUGGAGCGGCCGAUGGCAGAUUAGGUAGUUGGUGGGGUAAAGGCUCACCAAGCCUGCGAUCUGUAGCUGGUCUGAGAGGACGACCAGCCACACUGGAACUGAGACACGGUCCAGACUCCUACGGGAGGCAGCAGUGGGGAAUUUUGGACAAUGGGCGCAAGCCUGAUCCAGCCAUUCCGCGUGCAGGAUGAAGGCCUCGGUUGU
rnacentral:rRNA from 1 species